AUGAAGUUUUUUUUUUAUUUUUUAAACAAUGUACUACUACUUGUAUUUAUCAUAUUUAUUAUGCAGGAGGAAGCAGAAGGUGUAUAUAAAAAUAUAAAAAAAAAAAAAAAUUAUAAAAUAGUAAAAAACUUUAUAAAUAUAAAUUAUAAUAAAACACAUAUUAAUAACGCAAAUAAAAAAAAAAAAAAAGAGUUAAUAAAAUUUAGAACAAAAUUAAAUAAAAAUGAUUUUCUACUAACUUUAAAAAAAAUAACUACUGUUGAAAAAUAUAAACAUAUUGUUUCUCCAUUGGAUAUUAUAUUUCGUUUAAGUAAUGUAUUUAUGUUUAUGUUUUUUCUAAAUCAUUUUAAUUUUAUUAAUAAAAAACAUACAACUAGUUUAAUCGAACUGACAAGUAAUAUAAAUUCAAAAAUAUUUUUAUUUAAUACAAUAAAUGACGUAAUAAAAGUAUUUCCACAAGAAAUUAACAAAUUAGGCACCACUGUUUUUUUUACAGUUAUUCAAUUUUUUUUAAAUACUUUUUUUUCUAACUGUAUGUUUAAUUUGUUUUAUUCAAAAGAGGAUUUAUUAGAAUUACAAGAAAAAAAAAGCGAAACUACAAAAGAACACUUAAUUAAUUUGUCUUUAAAAAAUGGCUUAAUAGGAGAGAAGGAUGAUGAAAACGUUUAUAAAUUUGAAAAAAUAGAUGAUAAAAAAGGGAGUGAAAAUGGAAAAGUUAGCAAUGGCAUAAGUGGCAGUAGUAACACUAAGGGUAAUAACAUUCUAAUUAAUCUGGAUGAAAAUAAACUUAAAAAAAAAAAAAAUAUAAUUCAAGAAAAUAAUAUAUCAGUAGAAAAAAUUAAAAUACUAAAGCAUAUGUGCAUAUUAAAUAAUACAGGAUUAAUACCUUUAUAUGUAUUUAACAAUCUGAUAAAAAAAAUAAAUAAUAGUUACAAUAAUAAUAUAAAUGUAUUUAUGAAUUUUUAUAUAUUAAUUAAUAGUUUUUUUUCGUCGGUAUAUGUUAAUUACUUUAUUAAAAAAAUGAAUUCUACUAUUGAUAAUGUUAGUGAUAAUACAACUAGCCAAACUAGUGACUAUACAAUUAACCAAACUAGUGACUAUACAGCUAGCCAAACUAUUGAUAAUAUAGCUAGCCAAACUAUUGAUAAUAUAGCUAGCCAAACUAUUAAUAACAUAGCUAGCCAUGUUAGAAAACCACUAGAUAAUAUAAAAAAACAAUUACUGUUGCUAACCUCAUUUUUGAAUAACUCCUAUUUUUAUUUUUUCCUUUUAUCCAUUUUAUUAAAAUUUUCAAAGAAUUCUAAUUUUAUUUUUGAAAAAAUGAUACAACCUGUAUUGUUAAUGUUUAAUAACAUAUUAACACCUUCGAUUCUUAUAAUUUGUUCGAAUAUAUUGUAUGAUGGCAUGAAUAUAAAAUCUAUAGUACAUAUAAAAGAUUUAUUAUUUAUAUUACACCACAAAUAUUUGGUAAUACCUUUACUUUUGUUUGGUCUGUUCUACGCGAAUGAUUACUUUGGCAUUUUCAACAUCCAAAAAAACUUGCAACUGUAUUUUCUAAUUCAAUCUAUGACACCUCCCAGUUAUAGUAUAUAUUUUUUAAGUGAAAAGUUUAAAGGGUUAACGAGUAUUAAAAAAUUAUUAAGUAUUACAUAUUUUAUAUAUAUUAUUCCCUUGUUUUUUUAUUCUUCUAUAUUAUAUAAGUAUUUUAAAAAUAAAAUCUGAGCGCAUAGGGCUGCAUAUGGAACCAUACAUAAAGAGAUGUAAACAGAUAAAAAAACAACGGUGCAGCUUUUUUUUUUUUUUUUUUUUUUUUUUGUCAAGUGUGAUAUUAUAUAUGAACAAUUACGUUGUGUUUCAUUAAUUGUACUUAACUUAUUAACAUUUUCUGUAUAAAUAAUAAACACAAAAAUUACAUGUGGGCUUCGAAACA
ensembl:lncRNA